rnacentral:rRNA from 1 species
UGAGGAAUUUUGGACAAUGGGGGAAACCCUGAUCCAGCGACGCCGCGUGGAGGACGAAGGUCUUCGGAUUGUAAACUCCUUUUGCAGGGGACGAACGAGCCCCGGUGAUAAACCGGGGAAAUGACGGUACUCUGCGAAUAAGCCACGGCUAACUUCGUGCCAGCAGCCGCGGUAAGACGAAGGUGGCAAGCGUUACUCGGAAUUACUAGGCGUAAAGGGCAGGCAGGCGGUUCGGUAAGUCUAUUGUGAAAGCUCCCGGCUUAACCGGGAGAUGUCAAUGGAUACUGUCGGACUUGAGUGUGAGAGAGGGUGCUGGAAUUCCCGGUGUAGCGGUGAAAUGCGUAGAGAUCGGGAGGAACACCUAUGGCGAAAGCAGGCGCCUGGCUCAUUACUGACGCUCAGCUGCGAGAGCUAGGGGAGCAAACAGGAUUAGAUACCCCCGUAGUCC